GGAUGCCCAGUUAGUUGAAUUUAGAUAACAAGAAUAAUUUUAGCCUAAAUAUGUCCCAAGCUUAGUUUGGGACAUACUUAUGCUAAAAAACCCACAGAAGGUGUUUUGGAUCAAAAUUAAGCAUUUU
rnacentral:miRNA from 10 species